CAUUUGCAGGAAGUACAACGACAUUCACAGGCAAUUUAUCUGGAGGAGGCUAGUAUUGGACUGAUUUCUGAAUUUUAGAUAUUUUUCAGAUACAUUCGAUGCCUUCAAAGAUUGUUUGCCGCCAUUACGUUUUAUUCAAUUUGCGCAUUGUAUGUUUCAUUGAUUUGUUCGGUCUAUGCUGCAUUAAAUAAUGGUUGGAUAUCUGGUUAUGGAUUUUGUCUCUUUUGCUUUAUUCAACUUUACGUCCAAUGUAUUUUGGGAACAUUUGUGGAUAUUCAAAACGACAGAAUGAGUGAAGCGUUGUAUUUGACGCCAUGGC